CUAAGAACUCUUUGCUUAAUUCUCACAGCAAACCCGCGACUUACCAUCUAUCAUUCCUUCCAUUUCACAGAGGAAGAAGUGGAGAAGAGUAGCCAGCUUUCUCAAGACCAUAAGGCUGGUCAGUGGGCUUGUCUUGUGCUUAGGAGAAGAGAAUUAGCUGCACGGAAAAACAUGAAAAGAGGCUGUUCUGGCAGAUGGAGGCUGAAAUUGAAUUGCUGCUGACUGUUGUCCCUUGUUAUGGCCUGUGGAGACAUGACAAUCGAGGAAGAACUUAAAAGAAUGUGGAGCAGCAGAGCAUGCAGCAGUGGGUGUGACCGGUGUCUGAGAC
rnacentral:lncRNA from 1 species